GACAGAGGGUGCAAACGUUGUUCGGAAUUACUGGGCGUAAAGCGCGUGUAGGCGGCCCUGCAAGUCGGAUGUGAAAUCCCACGGCUCAACCGUGGAAGUGCAUUCGAAACUGCAGGGCUAGAGUCCUGGAGAGGAAGGUGGAAUGCUUGGUGUAGAGGUGAAAUUCGUAGAUAUCAAGCGGAACACCGGUGGCGAAGGCGGCCUUCUGGACAGUGACUGACGCUGAGACGCG
rnacentral:rRNA from 1 species